rnacentral:lncRNA from 1 species
CAGUCUAGAAUCCAUUGUCGAUUUUGAGCAGUUGAUUGAACCUAAUCAAUAGUUAACCUGAUCGAUUCUAAUUGAUUAAUUUGAUGUCUAAGGCAAAAUUUAGAUGGUGGUUAUUUAAUUGGUUCCAUUGUCUGAUCUGAUCAAUUUAAUUAGUGUCUAAAGAAAGCAAUAGGGGGACCUCCACUCAUCUUAACUUAUCUGGCUAUAUUGGG